UCUCACUGCAAGAUCAUCAUCACCUAACACCUUUACCAUACACAGCAGUCAUUAGAACAUGAUAUGAUUAUGGUUUAUGAACCUCUCUCCUAUAGGACCCUUGUGGACCCACCAAUAUUUCACGUGAAGUUUGGUGUGAGAGGCUGUGAAAACAACAGCAGAACUUUCUUUGCACUUUGAAGAGAGCCCAGUUUGCCUGUGAAGUUCAACUCAAGAGGUGCUGCUCUUGAGAGGUGCUGAAUGGCCCUUGGACUUGAAGAAUAUCCUGAAUUUCCUCCGUCUUCAGUAACAGAAGAAAAUACUCAACACCAGGCAUAGAAAAACUCGGCAGUCUGCUUAAAAAUGAAGAAGUCGUGACACCUAGCGGUGAGUUAAACAACAAUAGCUUUUGUUUCUUGAAGAACUCACAGUUGUUUUCCAUAGGCAUGUUGUUCUCAGUCAGAUUGCGAUGUGAGAGGUGUGAGUAUCACCCUCAUGACUCCAAACAUCCAGGCAGCCAC
rnacentral:lncRNA from 1 species